rnacentral:rRNA from 1 species
CCUACGGGCGGCUGCAGUGGGGAAUAUUGGACAAUGGGGGCAACCCUGAUCCAGCCAUGCCGCGUGUGUGAAGAAGGCCCUCGGGUUGUAAAGCACUUUCAGUGAGGAAGAACGCCUGGUGGUUAAUACCCAUCAGGAAAGACAUCACUCACAGAAGAAGCACCGGCUAACUCCGUGCCAGCAGCGCGCGGUAAUACGGAGGGUGCGAGCGUUAAUCGGAAUUACUGGGCGUAAAGCGCGCGUAGGUGGCUUGAUAAGCCGGUUGUGAAAGCCCCGGGCUCAACCUGGGAACGGCAUCCGGAACUGUCAAGCUAGAGUGCAGGAGAGGAAGGUAGAAUUCCCGGUGUAGCGGUGAAAUGCGUAGAGAUCGGGAGGAAUACCAGUGGCGAAGGCGGCCUUCUGGACUGACACUGACACUGAGGUGCGAAAGCGUGGGUAGCAAACAGGAUUAGAUACCCUGGUAGUC